CUCAUACCUGAUACUCAUCACGGCAGCUACUAUUAAAGGUGAUUAAUCGAAUAUUAAACAAUGUUUUAGAUCAUUUGAAUACUAUUAUUUUGUAAACGGAUAUAUAGGAUUCUUGAACACGGUACAUUCAUAAUUCCGUUGGCCACCUUUACAUCAAAGGUCAUGAAGCCGACUAGAAUGUGUGAAAUCUUGCUUGCACAUCAGUGCCUGUUUAUCCGUUCUCUACGAUGAAGUGAACAGCACGACCAAGGAAUGUCUUCACGUUAACAACGUGCUAGAGUUCUCUAGUGCCAGUGUAUUAAUUCCAAAGAAGGAUAAAUCUUCGAUACUGACUAACGUCUGGGAGUUUAUUCCAUUAAAUCAUGUGAAUAUUAAAGAAGGACCAAAUUACUGUAAAGAAAGGACACCGCCCUUUAGAACGUGCUUCAUUUAACUGUCUUUGCACAUUUGCAUAUGUUGCUCAUUUCUAUCAUAGUUUUAAUCAAGGAAAAACGUUCUUGUUUUGUUUUCCAAGUAUUUGAUUUAGUAAAAAUGAUUUUUUUUAAA